rnacentral:rRNA from 1 species
UACGGGGGGGGCAAGCGUUGUUCGGAAUUACUGGGCGUAAAGGGCUCGUAGGCGGCCAACUAAGUCUGCUGUGAAAUCCCUCAGCUUAACUGGGGAACUGCGUCCGAUACUGGAUGGCUUGGAUUUGGGAGAGGGAUGCGGAAUUCCAGGUGUAGCGGUGAAAUGCGUAGAUAUCUGGAGGAACACCGGUGGCGAAGGCGGCAUCCUGGACCAAUAUUGACGCUGAGGAGCGAAAGCCAGGGGAGCAAACGGG